rnacentral:tRNA from 1 species
GCCGGAGUGGUGAAAUGGCAGACACGCAUGGUUCAGGUCCAUGUGCUCGCAAGGGCGUGGAGGUUCAAGUCCUCUCUCCGGCACCA